rnacentral:sRNA from 1 species
GCUGGGUGUGGUGGUGCACACCUGUAAUCCCAGCUACUCGGGAGGCUUAGACAGGAGAAUUGCUUGAACCCAGGAGGCAGAAGUUGCAGUGAGCCGAGAUCACGCCACUGCACUCCAGCCUGGGUGACAGUGCAAGACUCUGUCUCAA